rnacentral:misc_RNA from 1 species
UUCCUUUUCUGGUAAUUAUCAAUGUGCUGAUGAGCAGAUAGCUGAUGGGCAUGUUAUAUGGCAAGGGAGUGAUGCAACUCAUGUUGGAAGAAGAUGUCGCUCUCCUAACACUAGUUGGUUGCUCCAAGGAAAUGUUUUGACAAAUCUUGACUAUGCCAACAGACCUGGAGCUGAUGUUGUUAAUGAUGAAUACGAGAACAACAGAUUGACGAAAGUUCUUCAUUCUGAUACCAGAAAUUCCAG